AGUUCGAUUAUGGCUCAGAUUGAACGCUGGCGGAUGCUUUACACAUGCAAAUGAACGGCAGCACGGACUUCGGUCUGGUGGCGAGUGGCGAACGGGUGAGUAAUGUAUCGGAACGUGCUCAGUAGCGGGGGGAUAACUACGCGAAAGCGCACAUCGCAUACGCCCUUCGGGGGAAAGCGGGGGGACCUUCGGGCCUCGCACUAUUAGAGCGGCCGAUGGAUUAGCCAGUUGCGGGCAACGGCUCACCGGCGACGAUCCGUGCUGGUUUGAGAGGACGACCAGCCACACUGGGACUGGAGACACGGCCCAGACUCCUACGGGAGGCAGCAGUGGGGAAUUUUGGACAAUGGGGGAAACUCCCGAUCCGGAGCCAUCCCGCGUGUGCGAUGAAGGCCUUCGGGUUGUAAAAGCACUUUGGCAGGAAAGAAACGCACGGAUAAUAAUCUCCCGUGCAACUGACGGUACCUGCAGAAUGCUACCUGGCUAACUACGUGCCAGCAGCCGCGGUAAUAGGGUGCAAGCGUUAAUCGGAAUUACUGGGCGUAAAGCGCGCAGGCGGUUCGGAAAAAGAAAGAUGAAAUCCCGAGCUUAACUUUGGAACUGCAUUUUUUAACUACCGAGCUAGAGUGUGUCGAGGGAGGUGGAAUUCCGCGGUAGCAGUGAAAUGCGUAGAUAAGGAGGAACAUUUGGCGAAGGCAGCUCCUGGGAUAACACUGACGCUCAUGCACGAAAGCGUGGGGAGAACAGGAUUAGAUACCCUGGUAGUCCACGCCCUAAACGAUGCGUCAACUAGCUGUUGGGGCCUUCGGGCCUGGUAGCGCAGCUAACGCGUGGAGUUGACCGCCUGGGAGUACGGUCGCAAGAUUAAAAACUCAAAGGAAUUGACGGGGACCCGCACAAGCGGUGGAUGAUGUGGAUUAAUUCGAUGCAACGCGAAAACCUUACCCUUGACAUGUCUGAAUCCCGAAGAGAUUUGGGAGUGCCCGCAAGAGAACCGGAACACAGGUUGCAUGGCUGUCGUCAGCUCGUGUCGUGAGAUGUUGUCCCGGCAACGAGCGCAACCCUUGUCAUUAGUUGGCGUUACUUAGGCACUCUAAUGAGACUGCCGGUGACAAACCGGAGGAAGGUGGGGAUGAUGUCAAGUCCUCAUGGCCCUGCGUGGGUAGGGGCUUCACACUAUACAAUGGUCGGGACAGAGGGUCGCCAACCGCGGAGGGGGAGCCAAUCCCAGAAACCUGAUCGUAGUCCGGAUCGCAGUCUGCAACUCGACUGCGUGAAGUCGGAAUCGCUAGUAAUCGCGGAUCAGCAUGUCGCGGUGAAUACGUUCCCGGGUCUUGUACACACCGCCCGUCACACCAUGGAGUGGGUCUUACCAGAAGUUAGCCUAACCGUAAGGAGAGGAUUACCACGGUAGGAUUCAUGACUGGGGUGAAGUCGUAACAAGGCAG
rnacentral:rRNA from 1 species